UCAGUUACUCAUAAGACCACAAGAUAUAAACAAGACACUGUUGCUUGGACAACUUCUGAGGAGCACCAACUUACUCAGCUGGCAGGAUUGCUUCCAGGAGACAGAGCCAAUUAGUGCCACUUAUGCUGGGGACACUGAGAGGUGGCCAUCCGCCUGCUGAGACCGGCCCCAUGUCCUGUCCCCAGCCACACGAUUCCUCGGUGUGGGUACACGUUCCCUGUCCAGGGUUCCUCAGCAAUGUGUGUUCACAUGGAAUCUGUCAUGCUGAAUGAUAACCUGCACCCCACUGAGGUAAUGCACUCACCUGGAGUUUCUCUCUGCUUUACCGGGAUGGGUGACCUGCCCACACGAGGUGCUACCGUCGUGUGAAACAUUGGUGUAGUCUAGGAUCUCUCUGCUUGUUUCUGAAUUUCCGCCAGUAUCACUGAGGCAAGAAUAUGACCCUUGAAAUUCAGAUAACCCUACAGUUUACCAAGAAGCUGGAAAGGCAACUGGAAAAUGUAAACGGAGGGUGCACUCAGGUUUCCCUAUUGAGGACAACUGUGAUCUAGCAGUGACAUAGAAAUCAGCAGGAAGAAAAGAUAACCCUGUGUGCUUCUGCUGCCAUUCACAGGAUUUCUAAAUUCAAGUAACACUCACAAACGUUUUUAUAAAAAAGUCAAUGUGUAGCCUUUUGGUUGCAAUUCAAGUUCUAAUAAAACUGUUUAUUGAA